CGAAACCCACGGAGCCGGUCGUCACUCUCGCGUAGCUUCCUUCCAGGACAAACCCCAAACCGAAUCUUCCACUCUCCCCAUCUCCACCGCCGCCCCCUCGAUCCCCAACACCACCACCUCCACUGCUCGUGCCCCACGUGUGUGAGACCUGCUCUGCCGCGCAUGAAAGGCAGAGGGAGUGGCAUCUCUUCCUCUGGGAUCUGCAGCCUGUAGGUCAUAGGGUCCGACAUGGCCGUGCCACGCGCACAAGAGGAGAUUUGCCGAGUGGACCGAGCUGCGGCCGAGAGCGAGCAUGGGCGGAGGACCUUGCUGCGACCGGGGCACGGGAAAUCAAGCAACAACCGGAGCCCGCCGGCGAUGGCGACGGGGCAGAGGAGGCAGUGACGGAAUCAUAGAGGCGCUCCGGAGAGUUGGUUAGAUAGAAACCCGUUUUUCUUUGUAAGCUACUCAAUUCUACAUCUCUGUAAAGCUACUCAAUGCUUAAUUUAGGUUUGAUCCAUCUCUGACUGGUCCGAUUUACCAUGGAACGUAAGAUUCUCGGGGAGAGGUAAGGAGAAAAUACCACAAAACUGUUGUUCCUGACGUUCUGAUAAUAAUCAUUUCAUAUGAGAUGGCCAUGUAUAGAGUGCCGCUAGGUUUGGUUGGAUGUAGACUAGCGUUAAUACAUGUCCCUGUGUGAUCAACAAUUUUUAGGGUUCAGGGCCUAUUAUAUUAAACGACAGUAGAAUUCUAAACAACUUGCAGCCACUUAGGUUCAUGAGAGCACUGUUUUAAGGAAGCAUUUUGUUUAGUGCUCUAUGUACAGCUGAAUUCCAAGAAAUAUGUCGGUUGCUGGUUUUACUGGUUUGAACCGGUAGAUUCUAUACCAUCCAUUGGUAUUUGUGCUGAAAGUAAUACCAAUAUUAGUGGUACCUUGAUGUUGUACUCACAUCAAAGAAACAACAUACUUUGGGAGCAAUCCAUAGCAAAUAAAAUUGGAAAUAUCAAACUGAAAUAUAUAAGUAACCGGCUGGUUAUGAGCUACUUAUAAAUGGAAGUAUGUUCUUGUAGGUGAAAUAAUGGAAUAGCACAUGCUCUCAAUUAUUUUCCUAGAUGUUUUCCCCCCUUCCCUAUGUAUUUAUGUGACAUCCCACUACUUCUCUUUCUAGGGGCACCAGUUAAAAAUUAAGGAGUUCUAAUUACUGAGGGAGGUAAGGUGCAUUUCAAUGGAUAACAAGCCCCUUUUGACUGAAACACCUAUUCAGAAUAACAUAGCAGAACUGCGGUCACUACUUAACUUCAUUCUGCCGGAUAUAUAUUCUUAUCCCAUCAGAAAUUGAAAUCUUGAGACGAGUACAUUCUUCAGUGUGUCGAAAUUGAUCGGGAAUACAUUUCUAGAUUCCUGGACAUUCACAUUAACCAUGGACAGACGGAUCAACGGGGGCAUCUAUGUCGAGCUAUCAAGAUUUUGUGUCAACAAGUGCCAAAAAAUGCAGAGGGAGGCUGGAAGGGGAAGAUAGCAGCGAAGAGGAUAGAUAAUUUAAUUUUCUAAAGUUUUGCAAUUGUGUCCAUCGACGGUGGUGAAGGAAAGCCUGUUGAUCACGCCAUUGGAGCCAGGACGAGGUUUGUGUAGAACUUGAUUUUUUCUGUUUGCUGAUGAUUCAUAUUUUCUGGACAAGUUUGUGAGUGCAGAAAUUUAGGGCUUUCCUUACCUUUAUAUUAAUAGAGAGAAACUGAGAAUGUGUUGAUGGAGUAUUUGUAUGGAGUUAAUGUAGGAGAUAGAAUGCCCUAUUCGUAGGACUCACAUACAUAGUAUACAUGAAAUGCAGGCUAAAAAGAUAUGUACCUGUUUACCGAGGAUUUUUUUUUGUAAGUGUUGGAGCUGACAAAUAGGCAUUUGUUUAGAAGACUAUAUAAAUAAAUAUAUUCAAAGUUUCAUCGAUAUAUAAAUAAUAUAUACUCUGUAAUUACUUGUGGGACAACAAGCGAUUGUAUGUAAUGUGUUGAAUACAAUUACUCCAGAUAAGAUAUAGUUUCUAAACAGCAAAUAAAGUGCUUUGUCAACUCAUAGAGUACUCAGUUGUAUAUGCUUUUAUAAAAGAGUGCGCACGAUUGGAGGAUUCAGAUAUUUUUUGAAAAGAACUGCACAUAUGCUUAUAAGUGUGUUAUACAUACGUAAAUAUUCGGUAAUAUUGUAGAAAUGAUGACAAGUCACUAUCAUGCUAAUAGAUUAUUUUUAGGUGAAUGUAACAUACAAAUUUAACAACUGUGGUGUAGAAAUUUUGGAUAUGCAUGCACUACUUAAUUUUGUAGUACUAAGUAAAAAACAUUCAGUAAUUAGGAUGAUGGUCUUGGUGUAGGAAGUCAACUUAUGGAAUAUAUGCUUUUGCAAAUACCAUAUUUUUGCUAAUAGCAACAUGCACCGAUGGUUUUUCAUCGGUGAAUGCCUUUAGAUAAGUAACCAAUUGACCAUAUUUUUCAUGACCAGAUUCAACAAAAUUAAAUUAGGGAGUCUAUGGUGGUCAUUAUCUUCCUUCCCACCAAGUAGCGCACUUGAACAUGGAUAUCUGUUUAAUUUACUUCUUACUCAUUGGUGAAAUAGUUUAUUGUGUACAUGGAUGUUAAUCAAGCCAAAAAUACAAAGAAACCCUUUCAGCCAUUGCUGAUUUUUCUUAUUCAUGUGAUUUUUUUUCCGAGGAAUGCAUUUUUGGUAGGGACAACUUACAAGGAGCUAGCGAUGCGGACUGAAUGAUGGUGCUUUCUCGGGCCAAGUAGAUGUGAAGGCCUUGCGAGAGGCGGAGCAGAGCCAAAACUGAAGCCGACCAUCAAUUCCAUUGCCAGGAUGGGGGCAAUCCGGCUAUGGGCUCGGAAGGAGAAAUGGUGCACAUGGUGGCUGAGAGGAGGAAGGAAAAUAAAUACAUUCGCGUUUAUAGCUAGGUCGUGAAAACUAAGUAUAUUGUGCUCGAUGCAUUUGACAAAGUAAGUAGCUGAUGCACAUGUACACUGAUUAUUGUUCGGUGGCAGUGCAGUAUGGUCUGAGUAAAUCUAAAAUGCGUGCUCUUUCCUUCAGCUGGAUGGUGCCGUUUUGAAAUA